CCCAUCUAUUCUCGUCUCCACUGGUGGUCUCAGGAGGAAUGGUUGCAGUGCAGCCUUCAUGUCCUGGGCAGGUCUGUUGCAUGUUGGUGGCUGACGCUGGUACAAUAUUUGCACCAAGAAGCAUACCACGUAUCCCCUCUGUUCUAAUGACUGGUACCCAGGUGACCAACAGCCAUGGCCACAUUCAGCUGUGCAGCUCUUCGUCCCCUGCCAGAUCUUCUCACCUCUUCGUAAAUCUUUUCUCGGUGACUGGUAUAGUGGCACUUCUUACAUCGAAAGGAAAGGAUCCAUGCCAGGCCUCGUUUUUCCUCCCCCUGCUGAUUCCAGUCCAGUGGACCAUCACAGUCUGGAAACUUCUCUGCCAGGACAAGAGAAACUCCAUUCUUUGAUGACUGAUGGAUAAGCCUCUUCACCCCACACUGCUCAAGAAUCCCUUAUCUUAAUUCAACAGCCAUUAAUCAGUGAUCACUGUUACCAAACCUCCAAGGUUCAGUGCAAGAGACAAGAAAAGGAAAAUCUGGAGCAGGGCCACAAAAUUCAAGGAGCACCAUCUGUUGCAGCCCAGAGUUUACCUUCCCCGCUGCAGAAACUAGACGCCCUUUAAUUCGGUACCACUGAGCCUCAUGGCUUCACAGUGAUGGAAAACACAGUGCAAAAGAGUAAGAAUGGAAGACGCCGGAUCUUUCCUGUACAGGCUAACAUCUUACCUGUCACAGAACCAGUGCCGUAUCUGUGAACAUUACCAGCGUCAAUGAUUACCGGAAAUACACCUCCCUCCUUUUCACCUGAACUUCCUUAUUCUACCAUACAUUACCACAAAAAAAAGUUUGAGGCUGCUCAAGCGGGGGAAUUUAAGCGCCAGUACACCAGGCGGGCCACAGUUACAUCAUGUGGGAAAUGUGUGGGGAGGAUAAGAGUGGAGGAGGACACCAGCAGUACUAUGGUAACAUCUACUGCCCAAACAAAGCUGGUGUGCCAUAUCAGGAAUGGAGGGAAGCUUUUAAAACCAGGGGAUAUGAAAAAAAGAAAAGCAAAAACUGAUCAGCAAGAGCCAUCUCAGAAAGAGACAAAAGACCAGUAAUUACUAUUCUACCCCACAUACAGUGUACCAUUCUAAAAAAUAACUUUCAUCAAUCAAAGGAAACAUCUGUGACUAUUAUAAUCAGAGGAAACAUCAUUGACUAUUAAAAAAAAUUUUAAUGCUGCCUAGUUUUGACACUGAUAUAAGUAGAAGGUCCC